CUAUUUUCUUAUUUUAGAUAUUUUUAUCUCGAAUUGUGCAACGCUUCACUGGACAAUAUAUUCCUGAAAGAUGAGGACCCGAAAAAAUACCAUUGGCCCAGCAAUGCCACCGGCAAUUAGAGUCCUUCAUCAAUUGGCCGGAGGACUCGAGUACAUCCACCAAAAGAAACUAAUCCAUCGGGAUAUCAAACCUCAAAACGUGCUCAUUUGGGUUGAUCCACUAACUCAAAAAGUAUUGAUGAAAUGGGCCGAUUUCGGGUUGAGCAAACGGGUCAACAGAAGAGGAAGUCACUCAAUCAGUGGAUCAAACAGAGGCACCGAUAUUAUUGGUAUGCCCCUGAAAUAGUAUUAAUCAAAAUUCAAGAAGAAGAAGAAAAUGGAAAAGAUGAAACAGCAGCACAUCAAAGAGGAACAUGAGUCAAGAGCGACGUAUUUUCUCAAGGCUUAGUCUUCGGCUACUACCUUUUGAAUGGUCAACAUAUUUUCGGUUCAAGAGUUCUAGCAUCCGCUAAUAUACUUUCAAAUAAUCCCGUUCAUCUAGACAAAAUUCAGCCGCAAUCCGUUCGCGACCUCAUCCAAAAAAUGUUGGAACCCGGCCGCGAAGUUCGAAUUUCCUCGUCAGACGUUUUUCAACUUCUUCAACAUCAUCAGCAGCUCGAGAUGAAAAACGACAAGUCUUGAAAUGUUUUUAGAAAGAUACUGCCAAGGCAACGAUUGCUUUUUUUCUAAAUGACAUCCAUUCUAAUUAUUCCAUUUUAUUAUUAUUUUCCUUUGUAAUGAGUUUUCAGUUGGAUACCCUAAUAAACUUUGCUGAAUACC